rnacentral:rRNA from 1 species
UACAGCCAUUGAAACACCGGUUCUCGUACGAUCACCGAAGUUAAGCAACGUCGAGCCUGAUUAGUACUUAGAUGGGCGACUGCUUGGAAAUACCAGGUACUGUA